rnacentral:snoRNA from 1 species
UUAUGCAUGAUGAGAAACCUUUUUUAAAAAUUUAACAGUUAUCCCUGUCUGAAUAGGCGAAUUAAAGCACGCCCCUGUGUCGAGAAUAUUUUACUCUGAGCCAUAC